rnacentral:lncRNA from 1 species
UAAAUAUGGACAGAAAAUUGAAAGGACAGUGCCGACACAGACUGUAUCUAUGAAGAACGUUGCAGUUGAAGCACAAUGCUAGUGCCAAAAAUAACGAGUAUGGCCGAUGGGAGAGGUUGUAGAAUUAAUCACUACUCUUUUUCUCCAUUUUUGUCUUUUAGCACGACAUAUAUUAUUUUCUCUGUAUGAUUUACAUUUAGGAUUUUCAAGUACCCAGAUUGAAACAAAAGGGUUUUCUCGUUCUCAUUUCACUAAAAAGGUGAAAGAAGAAAAAGGAAAAUAGGUCAUUGUCCCCAAUACUCCUUCAAGAAUAUCAAGUACAAGUCAAACGCAAUUAGGGUGCUUUUGAUUGCAAAUAUGGAAUUUGUAAUGAAAGAAAAUAUUAUUUACAUGGAAAUUGUCAAUUAAAUGUAUUUGAUGCAUUUAAUUUUCAACUUAGAAAAUAUUAUACUUGUCCAUUUUUUAUUGAUUGAUAGAUGUCUCUAAUUAAAAUCAUAGGUGAUUUAAUGCUUUUAGUUGAGGCUCAUUCGAAUGCGGAUGAAG